GUUUCGCUCACAAAACAUAAAAAAAGAAAAGCAAAACAAACCCUAAAAAUAAACCCUACGAUAUGCUUUGUUCAUGGGAUAAUGACGAUACAAAUAAAAUUUAGCGUCGACCAAGUCAUGCAGUCGUUAUCACAUGUAUAUGAUCUUUUCUCUCUUUUUUAUUCUUCCAAGAGAAAAAGAAUACAAGAGAAAUGGUGUUGGUGUUGUUGCCAUGGUCGAUGGCAGUCCAUGGCAUCUCUCCAUCUCUUUCUGACGCCUCUACAAAAAACAAAGAAAAAAAACAUCAACGCGUAAAGCUACAACAAAGAAGGGUUAUUGAACCCUUUCUUCUAAAAUCCAGAAAAACAUAAUCCCCUUUUUUCUCCCUAUUUUCAUUGUUUUUUAUCCGUUCUCCCUAUUUUAGAUGAUACAUAGAGCUGCAAGGUUUAUUAAUGGAUUUUAACAUGAUGUAGUUUCUUUUAUUGUUGUUGUUAUUAAUCAGUCAUAGGGACCGAUUGCUGUAAAUGGUGGAGCUCGAGUCGCUUAUGAAGAUAAGUGGUUGUUGAUUGAGAAAGAGGAGAUGUUGUUGUUAUCUGGUGGUAGUCGGGAUUGUGAGUUCUAGAUGGACAGAGUAAGUUUGGCAUCAUAUAUUUUUAGCGUCGACCAAUGUACCCCGUGUUAUUUUCUUUUUUUAAUUACUUUGGUUGUAAGAGAUUUAUCUUCCCUAAUAGUAGAUUUAUCUUUUCCUAAUAGUGCUUGAUGAUAUAUUAGUUGUGGUAUUCAUUCGUUCUUAGUACUUUGGUUGCUUAAGCCAUUUAUAGAGUUACCAGCUCGGUUCAGAUUUCAUCCAACUGAUGAAGAAUUAGGCAUGCACUAUUUGUGCCGUAAAUGUGCAUCUUUACCAAUUUCAGUUCCAAUUAUUGCUGAUAUUGACCUAUACAAGUUUGAUUCAUGGCUACUCUCAGGUAUGGCACUGUAGGGUGAAAACCAGUGGUAUUUCUUUUCUCCAAGAGACAGGAAGUAUCCUAACGGGUCGAGGCCGAAUCGAGCUGCGGGGUCUGGGUAUUGGAAAGCUACCGGCGCGGAUAAACCAAUUGGGAAGCCAAAACCAGUUGGGAUCAAAAAAGCUUUGGUGUUUUAUGAGGGGAAAGCGCCCAGAGGUGUGAAGAUAGACUUGCCCCGGUGUAGACAAAUAGGCGCGCAAGAAGAGUGGCAGCAACUCAAAGGGGUGCCAUUGGCUUUCCUUUUGAGUCGUUGGCACACUAAAUCGGGUAUUUAAAAAAAGCCUAUCCUUCUUCUAAGGUUGAACUUCAACAAGAAGGUACGUAAAUCAACAGUGGUGGUACUUAUUUGAUUGGGUCUCUGUCUCAUGGUGGCUGCCAUCGCUAUUUAAUUUGAUUGCUUUUCGCAUAUCAAAGAUGCCGUGUACCAGCACGUGGUUUCAGUUUUGUUGGAUGCGUAGUGAUUGGCGAAGCAUAUAUAUGGGCUUGGAAGCAAUUCGUACGUAAAUAUGGUUUUUUUAGCUACUACUGUAUGUUCAGAUACUAAAAAUCGGUUAUCCAUCUGGCACGUAGUACGGGAGCAUGAGCAAUUUUCAAGGGCAAUAAUUACAGCUGCCACCCUUUCAGAACUAUCAGUUGUUCUUAAAUACCUUUUUAUUGUUGUGCACUUACAGAUUAGGCUUUGUGCAGGUGUUUUGUCAAUCCUGUUGCAGUUGUCAGAAGUGCAAAGUAAGUGGCAGAGAGUCUUACGGUAAACAUUUGCCGUUAACCGUAACUAAGAAUUGGAUAGAGCUUCACUGCCAAUAGAGCUUGGAUUUUAAAGUUGGGAUAACUUCUGAUGUUAUCUUUCUUUGCUUUCUUGCUGGAAGAAAUUAGAGGGAUCUCACUGUUGAGUUCAAGAGCAUGAUGAGUAGGAUAUCUCAGAAGUAGUUUUGCGAGACCAGUGUUCAUUUUGUUGUCAAAUGGAAAGUGCAUAUGAAGAAUAGUUGACCCCUAACUAAUCAAAACACAUAAUUUCUUAAGAAUGAUUAUACUCUCAUCAAGACACAACGUGAAUUUCAGAAUCCUAGCAACUUUAAUAAGAUUACAAGAAAUGGGGACUUGGGCGAAGCCGAGCUUUACCAAAUCAAAUGGGGACUGAGGCGAGGCGAAGCCGAGCUUUACCAAAUACAAAAUAUGGUUCAAAGAAAGAGGCAUUGAUGCAUUGAUGCAUUGUAUUUGUAGUUGUAGAUUGAAUUGGUGAACCAAGUUUGAGAAACUGCCCGGGCGUAGCACGGGCACAAAAUCUAGUUCAUAUAAAAAACCUAGAAAAAUACAUAUCAACUACAACAAUGAUUCCUAAA